AAAAAAACGAAAGAUAAAAACGAAAGAUAAAAACGAAAGAUAAAAACGANNNNNNNNNNAAAAACGAAAGAUAAAAACGAAAGAUAAAAACGAAAGAUAAAAACGAAAGAUAAAAACGAAAGAUAAAAACGAAAGAUAAAAACGAAAGAUAAAAACGAAAGAUAAAAAUAAAAGAGGCAAAAACAAAAAAGCGAAAUAAAAAAAAAGGCAUUUAAAAAUACAAAUUACCAAUAUAUAAGUAGGUAAAUUACAUGAUGAAAAAAAAGUGCUAUGUAUGUACAAGCUAUUUCUACGUAUAAACAAAUAUAUAUGUAUAUAUAUACAUAUAUAUAUAUAUUUGUGCGCACGUAACUUUCCCAUAUUGGUUUACCAACUGAACACAGACAGCUGUAUGAAUUACAUGUACGUAUUGUUUUAAUAGUAUUAUGUUAUAUAUGUUAUAAGUGCUCGGUUUAGCUUCCUUUAUAGACAUCCGACAUAUAUAUAUAUAUAUAUAUACUCAUAUUAUACGUUUAAAUACAAUAUUCAAUUUUGUAAUUUAAAAGAUAUUUUCCUUUUUUUCCCCUCUUUUUAUAAUAAUGAUUUCUUGUAUACUAAUUUUAUAUGUAUAGUACUUUUCACUAAAAACAUCGGUUUUUUCAAUUAUGCCUUAUAUGUAUAUGGUAAUUUUUUAUUUUUUUUUGUUAGAGCCAAAAUGUACGAAGCUAUUGAUUUUGAGACUUUGAAAAAUGAAAUGAAACUUGAAAAACUGAUAAAUGAAAGUGUAGAUGCUCCGAAAGCUAAUGCUAACACAAAUUUAAUAAACAAAACAGAGGAAACAUUGAAAAUAGAACAACACCCUCAAAUAAAAUUUAAAAUAAUAAAUUCUUUUUAUUUGUACAAUUAUAUGCAACUACUACUAGAUGAAGACAUUAAUAAAACUAUGUAUAUCAUUGACUUACGCGAUGAAAAGUUAUAUAAAGAGAGUCAUUUAAAGAACGCUAUACAUAUAAAAAAUGUCACUAAACUGAACAAGGCAAUAACUAAAAUGAAAACGGAGGUAAGUACAAACAAUAACACAAGUAGUAACGCAAACACCUAUAAUAGAAUCAAAGGGAAAAAAAAAGUCAUUUUUUAUGAUAAUAAGGUAGCUGAAAAUUUAAAAACAUAUAGUCAAUUUUUAAGUCCAAUUUUUGCAAAUGUAUAUGCUGAUUUUUAUUUUUUAAAAGAGGGUUUCAAACAUUUUGAAAAUGUAUACAGCUUUUUAUGCGUUAGUAAAAAUAUGAAUUGCGACAAUAUGCAAAUAAAUCCUAUCCCAUUUGUACCUUAUGUAAUAAAUUAUCCAAUGAAAUUUUGUAACAACGUCUAUUUAGGUCAUAUUAUUCAUAUUAAUAAUUCUUAUGUAAACCAUUUUUUAAAAAUAAAAUAUAUAUACGAUUUUACAUCAUCUGGCUUUUCUAUAAAACAUGAUGAACAUGUUACAUAUUUCAGAUACAAUGUUAUUAAAAAAAAAUUAGAAAAUAAAAAUUCGUUGAAAGGGGAAUCUAUAAAUUUCAACAAUUUUUUAGAUAAUUAUAUGGUAUAUCAGGUUAUUUAUAAUAUAGCUAAAAAUUAUAAUGAAAAAAUUGAUAAUAAUUUACUAAUAAAUGAAGAAGGAGAAAAUAUGGAUCGUACAGAUACUUUAAUAAUAUGUAAUGAAGGAAUAACGAAUAAAACAAAAAAAAGUAUGAAUAAUAUAGGGUUAAUUAUUUGUAUGUGUUAUGUUAUGUAUAUAAAAAAAUAUAACUUUAAUUUAAUCAUGACAUAUAUAUUAAAAAUAUAUAAUAAUUUAGAUAUUAAUUUUAAAGUACAAAUAUUUUUAAAAUCUUUUUAUAAUUCGUUAGAGAAAAAUAAUUUUGAUUUAUCAGUUUGUUGUUCGUUAAAAAGUGGUCGUAACAACGACAAUGUUACUUGCAAUGGUAGUAGUAGUAGUAGUAAAAGUAGUGAAAGUAGUAGUAGUAAAAGUAGUAGAUCAAUAAAAAUUGAACAAAAUAGUAGAAAUAACAUGCCUUAUUUAAACGACAAUACUAAACGACUUAUAAAUUUAUUCAAAAGUGACAAAUUUAUUAACUUAAUUAAAAAAUAUGAAAUAAAUAAUUCAUAUAUUAUGCUAUACCGAUCAGACGAAUAUAUUCUUUAUAUAAAUCCAUCAAAAAAUAUACUAACUGAUAUGAAUAUAAUAAAACAAAAAGUUAAAAAUAAAGAAUACAAGAGUUAUGAAGUUGUAAUGCAUUCACUUUUAUAUUAUAUUUAUAAUAAUAAUUUUAUUAUAUUAACAAAUUUUUAUGAUAUAAAUAACUUUUUGGAAAUAUUUAUCCUUAUUAUAAAUGACAGUGAAGUAGAAUAUCCAUUUAAAAUGCCAUAUAUAGCGCUUAUACUUAUAAAUAUGUGUAAAGUCUUAAUGCAAGAGGAUACCCAUUUAAAGUACGAUAGCAGUAAGAAAAUGCAAUCACAAACAGGAACUGCAACUACAACUGCAACUACAACUACAACUACAACUACAACUACAACCAAUACAACCAAUACAACCAAUACAACGCAAACGUUUGCAGCAGAAUACGAAUGCUUAAAAGGUAAUGUACUGAAUUUAAUUUAUUAUAAUGUUGUUAUAUGUAUAGAUUUUUUUAUAAAUAAUAUUACAUAUACAACCGAAUUAAAUCAAACUAAAAAAGAAGAAUAUAAACUCACGAUAAAAACAAAAAAUGAAUAUCUAACCGAAAAAUGUAUUAGUAAAAAUAUAUAUUUAAUGUUGUUAUCAUUAAAAUAUCUAUUAGCAACUUUUUUCCAUUUUUAUGUUUAUCCGACUAUUAAAAAAUUUACAUUUUCAUAUUUGGAUAUGAUAUACCAAUUAUUAAAAAAAAUUGAUAUAUUAGCUGAUUGUUAUUAUUCAAUUUUUAAUGUAAAUAUUAAUUUAUUUAACAAAAAUGAUUAUAAUGCAAAAGUUUGUUUUCAUGAUUAUCUACCAUUAUACUUUUCUGAUAUUUUAAGACCCUUUGUUAUAAUAAAUAAUUAUUUAUUUGGGAACUUGGAACAUACUAUAUAAAUAUACAUAUUGAUUAUAUACUUAACAAAAACAUAUGUUAUUUAUCUUAUCAACAUAUGUUUUUACUACGUUUAUAAAUAAACGCGCACAAAAUGCGUGUGUGCA
ensembl:lncRNA